rnacentral:rRNA from 1 species
CAGCCGCCGCGGUAAUACGAAGGGUGCAAGCGUUAAUCGGAAUUACUGGGCGUAAAGCGUGCGUAGGCGGUUUGUUAAGUCUGCUGUGAAAUCCCCGGGCUCAACCUGGGAAUGGCAGUGGAUACUGGCAAGCUAGAGUGUGUCAGAGGAUGGUGGGAUUCCCGGUGUAGCGGCGAAAUGCGUAGAGAUCGGGAGGAACAUCAGUGGCGAAGGCGGCCAUCUGGGACAACACUGACGCUGAGGCACGAAAGCGUGGGGAGCAAACAGGAUUAGAUACCCCCGUAGUCCCUGUCUCUUAUAC